ensembl:lncRNA
ACUAAACCGCAGCAACUGUCAGGCUAAUAGGAACACAUUAGCACAGGGAAGAUGGAGGAUGAGGGUUAAGUUGUUCUCAGUGAAAUUUCAGGUUGAAGCUCCCAGAUGGGCCGAGACAAACAAUCAUGGCAGAAAGAAACAGACGUCUGAGAUGAUCCAACCACAACACGAGCAGGUGAAGCGACAGUUAGCGGUCGGUGUCCCUCCAGCUGCCCGUUUCCUGCUCAGUAUUUCCGAUGUGCGCUGAAGUUGGAGCUGCUGUUUGGUUGCUGGCUCGGAGGCUGAAUGAGCAGAGCCGCUGCAGCUCGGCACUUUUCUCCUCCCCUCCGCGGUCACAGCUCAGAGCUCAGCAACACCGACAACCUGCCACGGCCACAGCCGCUGCUGCUUUACCACAGGAGCUCCAAAAACAGCCACCAAGACCCACGGGGGACUGUUUUAUUUUCUUUUUUGUUUCUGUGGCUUUGACAUAAAAGCUAGCAAUGAAUAUGGAAAUCAUCCUUGGUUAUUUUUUUACAUGUUUCUUUAUCACUGCUGUCUGUGAUGUAUUUUAAUUACAUUCUCCAGCUGUAAUCUUUAACCUGUACUUCUAUCUGCUGCCCUUUUUAAGGGUCACCCCCCUCCUGUGUCACACUAACCAUCUGGAUGUCCUCCUUCAUCACAUCCAUGAAUCUUCUCUGAGCUUUUCCUUUUUCCUCCUGUGUGGCAGCUUCUUCAUCAUUCGUUGCCCCUCAUUUACAUCAUCCCUCCUCUGCACAUGUGCAAACGUCUCAGUCUUGGCUCUCCACAGACUCUGUCUCCAAACUGCUCAAGCUGAGCUGUCCCUCUGACACGUCCAUUUAUAAUCCUGUUCAUCCCGGUCUCUCCCAGUGAAAUCCUAACAUCUUCAGCUCAGCCUUCCACCUUUUUGUCUCAAAAUCAUGCGUCACAGCAGGUCUCACUACCAUCUUGUAAGUUUGCCCUUUCACUUCUCCUGCUAUCCUUCUGUCACAAAUGACCUCUGACACUCGUCUCCACCCUGGAUGCGCUCUCUCUUGUGCACUGUCCAUCACGUUGGAUGGUUGAGCACAGUUAUAGGUAAUUAAUAUUAUGAAUGGUACCGAGAAAAUGAAGUGUCAGCAUAGACCUUCAGUUUUGGGAAACAUGGCACAUUAUAUGUGUUAGGUAUUUUAGUACCAUGGGAGCAUUUACUGGAUAUUGUUUUAUAGUGACAUUAUGCAGGAAAACUCUGUCAUUCAAUAAGGCCCCUUUGUUUUAGUUAUUUUUCUCUUUGACCCAAGAAUUGAUGUGUGAGAAUCACAGGCUGGUACAAGGUUGAAAUACCACAGAGAUCACUCCCUCAGCUACAUUAGUUUCUUAAUCUUUUAGACGCCUGUUGAAGGCCAAAUGGUUUGUUUCAGAUUUCACUAAUGAAAGAACUCUUUGUUUUGUGCCUUGAAAAUAUGUCGCUGAGAUAAUCACAAUUGUAGCUGAACUGAUACACUACACAAAGGAUGCUUCUUCACCCAAGGGCAGGAAGACGCUGCCUUAUCUUGGUCUGUACUGGUUUAAACUGAUAAAUCUGCUGUCUCAUGAAUUUGUCCCUCUAUAUAAACUGUUGUACUUGUGAAUAAAGUUGAGUCAAUUUGGGAAGACAACCUGAAGCAGUCUCUGUUUUCUUGUUCUCCCAAGCUGCUCCCGAGCUGCUCGUACUAACACGCUGAAUGGCAUGCUUGAAUAUUACUUGAGAAUAUAUUUGACUGUGUUACAGACUAAGGGACAUUCUCUGCUGAUAGACGUCCACGCCUCGGAGGAAGCCGAUCCACGGAGUAGGCCCUGG